UGUAGGUUCAGCUGCAGCCCGGA
rnacentral:piRNA from 1 species